rnacentral:rRNA from 1 species
GACGAACGCUGGCGGCGUGCUUAACACAUGCAAGUCGAACGGGUCUGCCCUGUUUUUUGCGGGGUGGGUCAGUGGCGAACGGGUGAGUAACACGUGAGUAACCUGCCCCUCACUUCUGGAUAACCGCUUGAAAGGGUGGCUAAUACGGGGUGUUCUGGCUGUGCCGCAUGGUGUGGCUGGGAAAGAUUCACUUUUGUGGUGUUUUGGUGGGGGAUGGGCUCGCGGCCUAUCAGCUUGUUGGUGGGGUGAUGGCCUGCCAAGGCUUUGACGGGUAGCCGGCCUGAGAGGGUGGGCGGUCACACUGGGACUGAGAGACGGCCCAGACUCCUGCGGGAGGCAGCAGUGGGGGGUAUUGCACAAUGGGCGGAAGCCUGAUGCAGCGACGUCGCGGGAGGGAUGGAGGCCUUCGGGUUGUGAACCUCUUUCGCCGGUGAAGAAGGUCCUGCUCUUUGUGGUGGGGUUGACGGUAGCCGGGUUAUGAAGCGCCGGCUAACUACGUG